AGCAUAAAGUGAAAGGAUGCGGCAGCAAUUGCUUUAUUCCAGUUUAGUCUUCAAGAGAUGUCCAGAUCUGCCCUUCAGUCAGCAGCGGAAGAAAGAGAUACUCACUGACCAGACACCUCCUGGGUGACGUGGCAAGAGUAGGAGGGAGCUACUUGUCCCAGAGCUGGGUUUUAGCCAAGAGUUUGGUGCCUGGUUUUGACUCUUUAACAUCUGGUCCUAACGAAGUGGACUGAACCACAUCCUGCACAAGCUGGCCUUCCCGUGGGAAGGAGGACUGAUGAGGAAGAGGCAGGCUGGGUUAGACAAGAACACAGUUUUGCUUAGGCAAGUGUGAAACAGACCUUCAGAAGAAGACGACCUUCAGAAACCUGUACUUGCUGAGGACCGGAUUCAGACUUCCCUUUAACGGCACCCUUCCCUGCUGUUGGCGGACCAACCACCAAAGUAUCCCAAGGUUUUAUCUUGUUAAAAUGGACCAACAAUUUACCUACUGGAAAGGACAGCACUGUCACACCUGACUUCUGAGUGAGACACAGCUGCGUGUGGAGAAGCAGCAUCACAACAUCUAACAAAAGACUACAAAACUUCAUAAUGUAGUUACAGAAAAGGCAGAAUAAAGAUUACCCAAAUGUGGCAUUUUUUUGCUACUAAGC